UAACGUUCGGACACCACUACACGGAGU
rnacentral:piRNA from 1 species